rnacentral:rRNA from 1 species
CCUACGGGUGGCAGCAGUGGGGAAUAUUGCGCAAUGGGCGAAAGCCUGACGCAGCGACGCCGCGUGAGGGAUGAAGGUCUUCGGAUCGUAAACCUCUGUCAGCAGGGAAGAACGGUCACUGUGCUAAUCAGCAGUGAAUUGACGGUACCUGCAAAGGAAGCACCGGCUAACUCCGUGCCAGCAGCCGCGGUAAUACGGAGGGUGCGAGCGUUGAUCGGAAUUACUGGGCGUAAAGCGCUCGUAGGCGGUAUGUCAAGUCAAGGGUGAAAUCCCCGCGCUCAACGUGGGAACUGCCUUUGAAACUGGCAAACUGGAGUGUGUGAGAGGAUAGUGGAAUUCCAGGUGUAGGAGUGAAAUGCGUAGAUAUCUGGAGGAACAUCAGUGGCGAAGGCGACUAUCUGGCACAUAACUGACGCUGAGGAGCGAAAGCGUGGGUAGCAAACAGGAUUAGAUACCCGGGUAGUC